CACCUCUCAGAGUCACAUCUGGAGAGUUUCCAGUACUCUACCAGUCCCCACUACAGGAGGGAGAGGCAAGCAGAGGCAAGCCCAUUCCAUUCCUAGCUUGGGCAGUGGCUAGUGAGUGGAAGACAAUCUGCCCCAAGU